UUUAACCCUAAUAUGAAUAAAUCUCAUAUUA
rnacentral:tRNA from 1 species